UCAGUGAAACGUGAAUGUGACGAAAUUUCUUGCUUUUCAGUUCUGACAACUGGACUGGCAAUCAAAAAGAGUCAAAACUAAUUAAAAAGCUAAACCCUAUGUUGGACAAACACGAAAAAAAGGGCAAACAACACUUAUUCAACGGUUUUGAAAGGAUGCCAAAAGAUGUYACUGAAAAAGUGAAAACAAGAAAUACCUACGUUUCCACACGCUGAAAGAAAUUUUUUUCAACACGACUUUUUGGAAUUCAAUCGAAGUCCCCUGUCUCACGAAUGUUCUUCACUAGUGAAAAUGACAAGAAAAACUUAGUGAAGGAUAGUGAAAAUAGUUCGAAAGGUGAAAAAAUUGUACCGAUCGAACGGUCAAUAGGUUGGUUAGGGGCUCUGCUACCCCCGCAAGAGCAAACAUUCCUUCAGGUCAUUGAGGUUGAUAAGAAGAACUCAACUCGACCUUUUUUCAAGCAAAAGCGGAUUGCCACCAGAGCGAACCAAAAAUUAUGCUCACCCCAUGCGGGCAUCGGUUCUGCGACCGAUGUGCGCGUGGGGUCUUUGAGAUGGACAACUGUCCUCUCUGCAGAGCUCAAAUAAUCACAUUAAUAAUGGGGCACGUAGAAGAGUGCCCCUUCAAUACGGCCCUCCUUGCAGCGUGCAAGGAGGUCUUUUCUGAUGUUAAAAGAAAGUAAAGUCCUACAACAACACCAGCAAUGUUCCUUGAUGUUUUCUAGAAAUCUUUUUAAAUCUGAUCACUAAAGAGUUUGUAAAUUUCAUGCUAUAUGUUAAACUGUUUUCUUUUUUAAAAUCACCUCUUUCGACACACUACACCAAGACUUUGAAUGAAACAUGUUUCGUCUAUUAGACCUUUUCAAUCAUUAAUUGUUUUUAAUUGUUAUUAUAAGUUAAUAAAGUGAAUUAAAUGAAACAUAAAGUCUCGUUUA